rnacentral:rRNA from 1 species
CAGCCGCCACGGUAAUACGAAGGGUGCAAGCGUUAAUCGGAAUUACUGGGCGUAAAGCGUGCGUAGGCGGUUUGUUAAGUCUGUUGUGAAAUCCCCGGGCUCAACCUGGGAAUGGCAAUGGAUACUGGCAAGCUAGAGUGUGUCAGAGGAUGGUGGAAUUCCCGGUGUAGCGGUGAAAUGCGUAGAGAUCGGGAGGAACAUCAGUGGCGAAGGCGGCCAUCUGGGACAACACUGACGCUGAGGCACGAAAGCGUGGGGAGCAAACAGGAUUAGAUACCCCGGUAGUCCCUGUCUCUUAUAC